UACGAAGGGUGCGAGCGUUGUUCGGAAUUAUUGGGCGUAAAGGGUUCGUAGGCGGGAGAGCAAGUUGAGUGUGAAAACCCUGGGCUUAACCUGGGACGUGCACUCAAGACUGUUUUUCUUGAGUAUGGGAGAGGGUGGUGGAAUUGCUGGUGUAGGAGUGACAUCCGUAGAGAUCAGCAGGAACGCCGGAGGCGAAAGCGACCACCUGGUCCAAAACUGACGCUGAGGAACGAAAGCGUGGGGAGCAAACAGG
rnacentral:rRNA from 1 species